UUUGGUAAAAAGAAGCAACACGUGUGCAUGUAAGUCAGUAAAACCUACCAUGUUGGCAUUAAACUGAAUACUUCCUCUGAGAUUGGAUACUACUAAUGUCCCAUCCCUCAGUCUUUGGGGAUAAAGGCUAAUCCUAUCUAUAAAGAAGAGUAACACAGCCAGAAUUAAUAGCAACCACAAGAUGUGGUGGUGGAAGCUUUAUUAUCUUCCUGUUCUGAAAUUGCUGGGUUAUCUCAACACUUAAUGUUCUACCUCGCUUCACUUGAUUGAAAAGCUCUUGAAGCUGGAGAAAGGAGGUCCGAAUAGACUGUUUAGAAACAGUGUAAAGAAUACUUUCCAAUUAAUUUGGGCAGCUGGGAUGUCCUUCAUGCCUUGAGUGACCCUGUUGGAAUUAUAUAUUUCUGGCAUACAGUACAAGAAUUCUUUGCUCAUCACUCCCAGGAACACUCUCCUGAUGAGGUGGAAUGGCAGGACUUGAGGGUGCUACCUGGAGGCAGUAGAGAUUGAACCCAAGACUAUCUGUACUCUACAACUGAGCUACAACUUCCCUGUUCCAAGAACCAGUGCCACAACAUCCAACCAACUCUAUAUUUGCUGGGCUCAGUGCUUGGGUGAAGAGCCAGGUGAGACCUCCUUCACCAUUAAAGACCUGAUUUCUUGUUGUCUGAAAGGAAUGACUGAUAACAGAUGAUAGGAGGCAGCCACAGAUAAACAGGAUUGUAUGGAACAUUGCUGAUGUGUUAAUUCUGGACAAACUGGCCAUGGCUUUUAAGGCUCAAGUAUAUUAGCAGUUAUCUAUCAACACUAUAGUGUACAAAGCCCAACAGAACUCUGGCAAGAUAAGAUUACAUUAUCCAAGCAUUAAAGCAUUCCAAUUUAUUUAUUUAUUUAAUUAAUUUGUAUGUCGCCUAUCAUUCCCGGAGGGUGACUCUGGGCACCAUAUUUGUCAUUUUUCAUAUUGUAGGCUUUGGAGUAAUAAUAGUUUUUUCCGUACAACAUUUAUUCUUCUCCAAAAAAGACUGGGUCACACACAGUGUUCACACAUAAUGUACUGGUUUUGAUUUGGUAUGUGAUGUGAAUCCAGCCAUUGUUUCUUUUGGCUGAACAAAGUACUCUAUGUGAUGAAAACAAUCCUCCAAAUUAAAAAUUGAAGGCAGGGGAGAAUAACAGAUUCAGUUUUCACUGAAUUGGAAGAUGAGAAACUGGGAGUAAAAUUAAUAUCUUCUUUGGAUGGUUCAGGCAUUGCUUUAAAGCAUGGCUUACUUUAACAGUGGCUUCUUGAAAGAGCCAUGGUAGUUUGAGUCAUAUAACAUACUAAAUCAUAAAGUGUGGUUUACAAAUCACAGAACCUGUAUUUGUAUAAUGCAUUAAGCCAUUAUACAAACCAAAGCUAUAAUACUUCAUUAUGGAAGUACAGCUAUACCCCCUGAAAAUCUUGCAUAUGCCCCUCCCUCAGAAAGUCCAAGAUGGGGGGCACAACUGUGUUUGAAGCUCUGCCCUUUUUGUAUGUGUAUCCACUGUUAAUGCAUCAACAAAGGGGUGGGGUUUUGAUUGUGCAGAUGAAUCUGCCAUCUUAAACUUUGCCCCUUCCUCCAGGGCAUCCCUGGCCCACUCAGACCACCAACAUUGUAAUUUUUAUUUUGAUGGAAGGGAAAAGGUAUGAAAUAUAUGACUGGAAAGUAAAUCUUAAAUAUAUGUAAUGUUAAUGAAAAUGUAUGUGAAAUAAAAUUCAAUUUUUUAUUAUGCCUCCAUAUGCUACUUUUUAGAGUGUGGCCCCAAGCACACAACUUGUGGGCCAAGAAUGGCCCUUGGUCCUGAGAACGUUAUGCACCUCUGAUUUAGUGGUGCAUGUGGGAAACCACAUGCCACCAUGCUUCCUUUCUCAUUUAUAAGUGAACAGUUAUCAUUCAUUCCUGAGGGAGGAAAAGUAUAUAUAAAACCUGUUUACGAGGACACCUAGUAUAGAUAUAGCAAGCGGUGGUCAUGACAGCUUAGUUUGUCAAACAGGUGGAAACCGUUGGCAAAAAA